CGGAAGCCCCCUGCCAACUCCCCUCACACAUCAUCCUUCCUCCUCAGCACCCAUGGUCAGAUGAAGCUGUCAAUCGUCCAAGAGCAAGAAGUACUUGUUGUUAGUGUUUUGGAGGCGAGGGGAAUGCUGGAAGAGUGCCAGGGGCCAUGUGACUCUUAUGUUAAGGUUGGCAUGUUCCCAGACAGCGAUCCUACAGACAGACGGAAGACUCAGAUGGUUCCUCACUGUAGGAACCCCAUCUUCUUACGAAC